UUAAGCGACUAAGCGUACACGGUGGAUGCCCUGGCAGUCAGAGGCGAUGAAGGACGUGCUAAUCUGCGAUAAGCGUCGGUAAGGUGAUAUGAACCGUUAUAACCGGCGAUUUCCGAAUGGGGAAACCCAGUGUGUUUCGACACACUAUCAUUAACUGAAUCCAUAGGUUAAUGAGGCGAACCGGGGGAACUGAAACAUCUAAGUACCCCGAGGAAAAGAAAUCAACCGAGAUUCCCCCAGUAGCGGCGAGCGAACGGGGAGCAGCCCAGAGCCUGAAUCAGUGUGUGUGUUAGUGGAAGCGUCUGGAAAGGCGUGCGAUACAGGGUGACAGCCCCGUACACAAAAAUGCACAUGCUGUGAGCUCGAUGAGUAGGGCGGGACACGUGGUAUCCUGUCUGAAUAUGGGGGGACCAUCCUCCAAGGCUAAAUACUCCUGACUGACCGAUAGUGAACCAGUACCGUGAGGGAAAGGCGAAAAGAACCCCGGCGAGGGGAGUGAAAAAGAACCUGAAACCGUGUACGUACAAGCAGUGGGAGCACGCUUAGGCGUGUGACUGCGUACCUUUUGUAUAAUGGGUCAGCGACUUAUAUUCUGUAGCAAGGUUAACCGAAUAGGGGAGCCGAAGGGAAACCGAGUCUUAACUGGGCGUUAAGUUGCAGGGUAUAGACCCGAAACCCGGUGAUCUAGCCAUGGGCAGGUUGAAGGUUGGGUAACACUAACUGGAGGACCGAACCGACUAAUGUUGAAAAAUUAGCGGAUGACUUGUGGCUGGGGGUGAAAGGCCAAUCAAACCGGGAGAUAGCUGGUUCUCCCCGAAAGCUAUUUAGGUAGCGCCUCGUGAAUUCAUCUCCGGGGGUAGAGCACUGUUUCGGCAAGGGGGUCAUCCCGACUUACCAACCCGAUGCAAACUGCGAAUACCGGAGAAUGUUAUCACGGGAGACACACGGCGGGUGCUAACGUCCGUCGUGAAGAGGGAAACAACCCAGACCGCCAGCUAAGGUCCCAAAGUCAUGGUUAAGUGGGAAACGAUGUGGGAAGGCCCAGACAGCCAGGAUGUUGGCUUAGAAGCAGCCAUCAUUUAAAGAAAGCGUAAUAGCUCACUGGUCGAGUCGGCCUGCGCGGAAGAUGUAACGGGGCUAAACCAUGCACCGAAGCUGCGGCAGCGACACUAUGUGUUGUUGGGUAGGGGAGCGUUCUGUAAGCCUGUGAAGGUGUACUGUGAGGUAUGCUGGAGGUAUCAGAAGUGCGAAUGCUGACAUAAGUAACGAUAAAGCGGGUGAAAAGCCCGCUCGCCGGAAGACCAAGGGUUCCUGUCCAACGUUAAUCGGGGCAGGGUGAGUCGACCCCUAAGGCGAGGCCGAAAGGCGUAGUCGAUGGGAAACAGGUUAAUAUUCCUGUACUUGGUGUUACUGCGAAGGGGGGACGGAGAAGGCUAUGUUGGCCGGGCGACGGUUGUCCCGGUUUAAGCGUGUAGGCUGGUUUUCCAGGCAAAUCCGGAAAAUCAAGGCUGAGGCGUGAUGACGAGGCACUACGGUGCUGAAGCAACAAAUGCCCUGCUUCCAGGAAAAGCCUCUAAGCAUCAGGUAACAUCAAAUCGUACCCCAAACCGACACAGGUGGUCAGGUAGAGAAUACCAAGGCGCUUGAGAGAACUCGGGUGAAGGAACUAGGCAAAAUGGUGCCGUAACUUCGGGAGAAGGCACGCUGAUAUGUAGGUGAGGUCCCUCGCGGAUGGAGCUGAAAUCAGUCGAAGAUACCAGCUGGCUGCAACUGUUUAUUAAAAACACAGCACUGUGCAAACACGAAAGUGGACGUAUACGGUGUGACGCCUGCCCGGUGCCGGAAGGUUAAUUGAUGGGGUUAGCGCAAGCGAAGCUCUUGAUCGAAGCCCCGGUAAACGGCGGCCGUAACUAUAACGGUCCUAAGGUAGCGAAAUUCCUUGUCGGGUAAGUUCCGACCUGCACGAAUGGCGUAAUGAUGGCCAGGCUGUCUCCACCCGAGACUCAGUGAAAUUGAACUCGCUGUGAAGAUGCAGUGUACCCGCGGCAAGACGGAAAGACCCCGUGAACCUUUACUAUAGCUUGACACUGAACAUUGAGCCUUGAUGUGUAGGAUAGGUGGGAGGCUUAGAAGUGUGGACGCCAGUCUGCAUGGAGCCGACCUUGAAAUACCACCCUUUAAUGUUUGAUGUUCUAACGUUGACCCGUAAUCCGGGUUGCGGACAGUGUCUGGUGGGUAGUUUGACUGGGGCGGUCUCCUCCUAAAGAGUAACGGAGGAGCACGAAGGUUGGCUAAUCCUGGUCGGACAUCAGGAGGUUAGUGCAAUGGCAUAAGCCAGCUUGACUGCGAGCGUGACGGCGCGAGCAGGUGCGAAAGCAGGUCAUAGUGAUCCGGUGGUUCUGAAUGGAAGGGCCAUCGCUCAACGGAUAAAAGGUACUCCGGGGAUAACAGGCUGAUACCGCCCAAGAGUUCAUAUCGACGGCGGUGUUUGGCACCUCGAUGUCGGCUCAUCACAUCCUGGGGCUGAAGUAGGUCCCAAGGGUAUGGCUGUUCGCCAUUUAAAGUGGUACGCGAGCUGGGUUUAGAACGUCGUGAGACAGUUCGGUCCCUAUCUGCCGUGGGCGCUGGAGAACUGAGGGGGGCUGCUCCUAGUACGAGAGGACCGGAGUGGACGCAUCACUGGUGUUCGGGUUGUCAUGCCAAUGGCACUGCCCGGUAGCUAAAUGCGGAAGAGAUAAGUGCUGAAAGCAUCUAAGCACGAAACUUGCCCCGAGAUGAGUUCUCCCUGACUCCUUGAGAGUCCUGAAGGAACGUUGAAGACGACGACGUUGAUAGGCCGGGUGUGUAAGCGCAGCGAUGCGUUGAGCUAACCGGUACUAAUGAACCGUGAGGCUUAACCUU
rnacentral:rRNA from 1 species